CCUACGGGUGGCUGCAGUGGGGAAUAUUGGACAAUGGGGGCAACCCUGAUCCAGCCAUGCCGCGUGUGUGAAGAAGGCCCUCGGGUUGUAAAGCACUUUCAGUGAGGAAGAACGCCUGGUGGUUAAUACCCAUCAGGAAAGACAUCACUCACAGAAGAAGCACCGGCUAACUCCGUGCCAGCAGCCGCGGUAAUACGGAGGGUGCGAGCGUUAAUCGGAAUUACUGGGCGUAAAGCGCGCGUAGGUGGCUUGAUAAGCCGGUUGUGAAAGCCCCGGGCUCAACCUGGGAACGGCAUCCGGAACUGUCAAGCUAGAGUGCAGGAGAGGAAGGUAGAAUUCCCGGUGUAGCGGUGAAAUGCGUAGAGAUCGGGAGGAAUACCAGUGGCGAAGGCGGCCUUCUGGACUGCCACUGACACUGAGGUGCGAAAGCGUGGGUAGCAAACAGGAUUAGAUACCCUUGUAGUC
rnacentral:rRNA from 1 species